UAAGAGUUUCAAAGGCACUGAACUC
rnacentral:misc_RNA from 1 species